rnacentral:rRNA from 1 species
CCUACGGGUGACAGCAGUGAGGAAUAUUGGUCAAUGGACGCAAGUCUGAACCAGCCAUGCCGCGUGCAGGAAGACGGCUCUAUGAGUUGUAAACUGCUUUUGUACGAGGGUAAACGCAGAUACGCGUAUCUUUCUGAAAGUAUCGUAUGAAUAAGGAUCGGCUAACUCCGUGCCAGCAGCCGCGGUAAUACGGAGGAUUCAAGCGUUAUCCGGAUUUAUUGGGUUUAAAGGGUUCGUAGGCGGUCGGAUAAGUUAGGGGUGAAAUCCCGAGGCUAAACUUCGGAAUUGCCUCUGAUGCUGGUCGGCUAGAGAGUAGUUGCGGUAGGCGGAAUGUAUGGUGUAGCGGUGAAAUGCUUAGAGAUCAUACAGAACACCGAUUGCGAAGGCAGCUUACCAAGCUACUUCUGACGUUGAGGCACGAAAGCGUGGGGAGCAAACAGGAUUAGACACCCCUGUAGUC